rnacentral:tRNA from 1 species
GUCCAGGUCGCCUAAUGGUAGGGCGUUGGUCUGCAAAACCGACUCUGCGAGUUCAAUUCUCGCCCUGGACUCCA